CAAGGAUUCAUGUAACAUUCAUUGACGUCUUCAUCACACUCACAAUUGCUUUAAUGGAGAUGCUCAGAAAACUGCUGCUUCUUCCAGCCUGUGGCACAGGCAUUUUUUUCUGUAAUACAUUCAAGUGCCGUGGGAUAAGGGUGUCAUCCAGAAGCUUUGAAAGGUCAUGAAAUAAAAUGAAUUAACCUGGUUAAUGGAGGAAUGAUUGACUACCAUGGUGUGAACAGCUGAAGGACAGACAAGGAAAUAAAGGA